AGCGAACGCUGGCGGCAGGCCUAACACAUGCAAGUCGAGCGCCCCGCAAGGGGAGCGGCAGACGGGAGAGUAACACGUGGGAACGUGCCCUUCAGUUCGGAACAACCCAGGGAAACUUGGGCUAAUACCGGAUACGUCCGUAAGGCGAAAGAUUUAUCGCUGAAGGAUCGGCCCGCGUCUGAUUAGCUAGUUGGUGGGGUAACGGCUCACCAAGGCGACGAUCAGUAGCUGGGCUGAGAGGAUGAUCAGCCUCACUGGGACUGAGACACGGCCCAGACUCCUACGGGAGGCAGCAGUGGGGAAUAUUGGACAAUGGGCGCAAGCCUGAUCCAGCCAUGCCGCGUGGGUGAUGAAGGCCCUAGGGUUGUAAAGCCCUUUCGGCGGGGAAGAUAAUGACGGUACCCGCAGAAGAAGCCCCGGCUAACUUCGUGCCAGCCGCCGCGGUAAAAC
rnacentral:rRNA from 1 species